rnacentral:tRNA from 1 species
AGGCUUGUAGCUCAAUUGGUAGAGCACUGGUCUCCAAAACCAGGGGCUGGGGGUUCGAGUCCCUCCAGGCCUG